rnacentral:rRNA from 1 species
CCUGCAUGAAGUCGGAAUUGCUAGUAAUCGCGGAUCAGCAUGCCGCGGUGAAUACGUUCCCGGGCCUUGUACACACCGCCGUCACACCAUGGGAGCCGGUAAUACCCGAAGUCAGUAGUCCAACCUCGUGAGGACGCUGCCGAAGGUAGGAUUGGCGACUGGGGUGAAGUCGUAACAAGGUACC